GACGUCUUAACCAAACAAAAACCUCAAAACCUGCAUCUUUACAAAGUUUCAGUUAUUGCUCAAGCAGGUGCCAUGCAUGAAAACUGCUCCCAGAUGUCACGAACCACGUCCGUGCCUCCUUGCAAGCCCACCACAGCCCCGGAGAUUAUCCACUCGGGAAGCUCUUGAGGCCUACCUAUGGUCUCCGUGAAGCGUUCAAUGAGCUCAACCGGUGAGUUCCCAUUCAAGAUUCUACCUUCAAUCAUGUCUCCAUACAACUGCACAAAUUUAAAGAUUCAAGUUUUGUUUCUUAAAUCAUCAUAGCUUGAUCAUAGAGAUCACAUCAUAAAUCACCUGUAUCUGGACAGAUUCAUCAUUUGUUAGAUCAAAAACUGAGUAGUUAUAUCCUUCAAGAUAAAGUGAUCUCAUCUUUGAAGUGAUGUAAAAAGGUGAAGGGGCAUAAGUUGUGCUCUCAUCACCUCCUGCCCUGCACUCGAACAAAAAAAUCUUAUGAUCAUAAAUCAUAAUUAUCGUUUAAAAAUUCAAUCUUUAUUUUCAAGAAUUGUGGCAAAUGAUCUUCACCUAUAGCUAACCAAAUUAGCAGCAAAAGUGAUGGGCUGAUCCCCUCUUCCGAUCCCUUGUUCUUGAACCAACAUUGGCACCCUCUUCCCCUUCAAAUCCAUGUGAGAGAACUGCUCUCCAAAGCCAUAGAAUCUCUCACUCCUCUCACUAGAAUAAGUGAGGCAAACCCUAUUGAAAUCAAGAAAAGAUGCCUUCUUCAUCACCACAUUCUCCUCUUCUUGAGAAAAUGCAACAACCACUCUCUUUUUCAAGAAAGAUCCACACCAUCCAACUCGAAGCCUGCGAAUUCUCCCCAAUUUUCGAGCAAGGCCUCUGCAUCCAUAGCUUCUUGCAGAGAGCUUCUGGUCCCGACCCGAAUUCGGCGUCCCAAACCUCACUCGAAACCCCACUUGAUCACUGCUUUUCUGAUCAAACACCAUCCAAUACUUAGCAUAUGCAGCUAUGCUCUUCUCAACAAGCUCCAAACUUUCACUCUCAACACGCCCUCUUCUCCCUCCCUUCACAUUAAAAACCCUCCCUUUGAUCAGCAUAGAAGGUGAUAGGGCCCGGGCCCUAUCCCUUUCCGGGUCCGAUUCUUGAAUGACUCUGAUCUCUUCAACAGUUUGAUGACUGCAUACGAGGCGGAUGUUGCUGUCUUUGACCACGAACGAUCCCCUGCUCUCCUCCACCUCUGUGUCGGCGGCGGUUGCAGAGACGAAGGCCCGGCCCGGCACCGUAGACCAUAUCGAUCUUGAGAAGUUGGACUUGUGGCAAACUGCGAGAGACCCUCCAUUGUUUGACGACCACUUCAGCUGGAAAUCAUGGCCUAUGUCGUAAACUUGCUGUGGAGGAAGUGUUUGAGGAUCGAAAAAUAGACUUCCUUGGAUCAAAGGAAGAGUCUUUGGGUUGGAGGGGAAAGGGUUGUUGAUGUGUUUAUGGUGUUUCUUUGUUGUUUUGAAUGAUGUCAUCGUUUACAAUUUUUUUUUUUUUAUAAUUUGGGUAAGGUUUGAAUGUUUUUCUUAUAUCACAGGUCUUAUAUAUAGUGCUAUUUUGCAGUUACGGCUGCUAUAUUUGUC